AAGGCUAAAUACUGGUGGGAGACCGAUAGCGAACAAGUACCGUGAGGGAAAGUUUCAAAGCACUUUGAAAAGAGGGUGAAAAGAACCUGAAACCGUUAUGGGGGAAGCGUAUUGGGUCAAAUUGAUUUGGGGGAGUGCUGCUGUUCAACGGGGUGAUUCCCGUGUACUCAGUGCAUUUUCUUACCCGUCGUGUGCUUUGGAUGGUCGAUUUUGGGCUGUCUGGGGCUGAGGGAUCCCCUUUUAUAGGGUGAAGACGAUGGGGCGCUGACACGAUACGACCCGUCUUGAAACACGGACCAAGGAGUUCAGCAUGUGUGCGAGUCAAAGGGUGAUUAAACCUGGGGGCGCAGUGAAAGCAACUUUUGUGUAAGGGAAUCCAACAUUAAGCAGUUUCAGGCGGCAUACGAUCGUUGAUUGUAGGACUGACCUAGAGCACAUGUGCUGAGACCCGAAAGAUGGUGAACUAUGCCGGAGUAGGGCGAAGCCAGAGGAAACUCUGGUGGAGGCUCGUAGCGGUGCUGACGUGCAAAUCGCUCGUCUGACUCGGGUAUAGGGGCGAAAGACUAAUCGAACCAUCUAGUAGCUGGUUUCCUCCGAAGUUUCUCUCAGGAUAGCAGGCCGACGAAUAAGCAUGAAGUCUCAGUUGUUGUGUGCGGUAAAGCGAAUGAUU
rnacentral:rRNA from 1 species